rnacentral:lncRNA from 1 species
GUAGAAGUUAUAUCCCCUAGAUUCUUUAGGAUACCCUACAAAAUAAUACAUAUAGGAUCGGGAUCCAAACUAAUCAGUCUGUAAAUGCUUGACAUAAACCAAACACUCCCAAAUCCUAAGGUAAAAAAGUAUCGGCUUAUGCCUAAUCUAUAUGUCAUAUGGAGUCUUUGUGAUUGAUUAGUUCGAAAUCUAGUUCAGAACAUAACAAGAUUCUUAAGAGUAUAAUCCUUAAAGGAGACUGACAGACUUGCAAAUCCCAUCAU